rnacentral:tRNA from 1 species
AGUAAUGUCAGCUAAAUAAGCUCUUAGGCCCAUACCCUGAUCAUGUAGGUGAAAACCCCGCCCUUACUA